rnacentral:ncRNA from 1 species
AGGUGGUGAACUUUGCCUGCACAGGUUGAAGUCAGGGGAAACUCUGAUGGAGGACCGUACGGGUUAUUGAUGUGCAAAUCAUUUUUCUGAUGUAGGUAAAGGUGCGAAAGACUCAUCGAACCACCUAAUAGCUGGUUUCCUCCGAAGUUUCCCUCAGGAUAGCUGUAAUGCAUUUAGUUAAGGGGAGUAGAGAUAUGGGUAGAGGUGCAGGGAGCCUUCGGGUUCUCAACUUAUUUCCAAACUUCGAACCUCCUUGUUAGGCAUUUACCUAACUGGAAAUGCUUAAAUGAAUUAGCGUUACAAGUGGGCUCUGACCGGUAAGCGGUCAUGGCGAAAUGGGAUGAACCAUACGUCUGAAUAAGGUGCCGAAAUGUACUAUCACUGAUACCAUAAAGGGAGUCCAUGUAUUUAGACAGCAGGUCGGUGCCCCUAAAAGCAGGUAUCCGCUAAAGAGUGUGUUAAAACUCACCUGCCGAAUACUAGGGCCCCGAAAAUGAAUGGCGCAUAUAGUACUACCGAUCUCAGACAUCAGUUCUAUUGAACUGAGAGUAGGGGGAUGUGGACAUUUUUGUGAAGGUGCAAUGUGAGUUGGACUGGAAGAAUGUCUAUUACAGAUCCUAAUUGAAGUAGCGAUUAUCCAGGCUUGUAUCCUGGGGGCUGAUGAGGAGUAGGGUUUCUGGACAACUUAAACAGAUCCAGAGUUAGUCGAUCCUAAUCUCAAUAAUGGGAGAAAGGGAGUACAGUUGAUAUUCUGUAACUGACAACAGUUCGCGGCAACGCAUACUAUUUUUCUCCGCCAAUCUUAUACCGUUGGUAGGGAUCUCUUUCCUACAUGACAGUACUAAUACCCAGGGGAAACUGGUCAUCAGGCGAACUGCGGCGUUCUGCUGGCAA